AACGAACGCUGGCGGCAUGCCUAACACAUGCAAGUCGAACGAAACCUUCGGGUCUAUUGGCGCACGGGUGCGUAACGCGUGGGAACCUGCCCUUAGGUUCGGAAUAACUCCCCGAAAGGGGUGCUAAUACCGGAUAAUGUCUUCGGACCAAAGAUUUAUCGCCUUUGGAUGGGCCCGCGUUGGAUUAGCUAGUUGUUAGGGUAAAAGCCUACCAAGGCGACGAUCCAUAGCUGGUCUGAGAGGAUGAUCAGCCACACUGGGACUGAGAAACGGCCCAGACUCCUACGGGAGGCAGCAGUGGGGAAUAUUGGAACAUGGGCGAAAGCAUGAUCCACCACUGACGGGUGAGUGAUGAAGGCAUUAGGGUUGUAAAGCUCUUUUACCCGGGAUGAUAAUGACAGUACCGGGAGAAUAAGCUCCGGCUAACUCCGUG
rnacentral:rRNA from 1 species